UAAAAAACAAUUAACAUGAUUAUAUUGUUUCUAUGUUUUGUCGAUGUUUUAUCAUAUCAAUUUUUUAAACCGACACUGAAAUCCACACACAAGGAGUGUAUAUCUUCUUCCUAGUAACAACAACUCCUGAUAACUGUUGCAAUGACGAAAUUAUCCGGCAUAUCUGUGCUCAGUUUGUAAGAGUUCCAACAGGCCUCUCUGUGAAUCAGAAGAUGGCCACGCGGUAUUGAGAAUAUGACGAAAAUAUUAAAAGCUGUGAACAACAAAGAGGACGACAAUAACAACAACAAUUUACAUCCAAACGUCAACAACAACAACGAAAAACAACAAUGACAAUUACAGACGCCAUAGUAACGACAGGUUUCAAAAGCAGACGGGACUGAUAUCUAUAGGGUCCAUUAAUCGAUUGGUCGAAACCUACAGCGGACUGAAAUCUACACAACCUAUUUUUCGAUUGGUCAAAACCUACA